AUGUUCCCAACCUGCAAGGGUUCCCUAUGGAUUAACGUUCCGCCCAGGCAAAUUUUCCGCACGGAUCAAUCUAUCGUUCCGGGCAUCAUUCCACAGUCUUUACCGAUCCUCCGGGACCCACGUCGCCUCGUGCGUUGGGCUGCAAGAGGCAUCAUUGGCUGUCUCUAUUUUAAUACAUUUCCCAGGAUCUUGCCUCAAUGACCUGGUUACUCCAUGGUCAAGAUAUCCUCCUGACUACUGCAAGCCACAGUCCAGAGGAAUUCACUUCUGACCACUCAACUUUGUUCACCCUGCUGAGGAAUCAGAUGAAGAAUGACUGCUUCACACUGACAAGUCACCUUUAUCUGGAAAGUCAAAGGUCCUCCUUCCUAUUUCUCUCCUGCUCCUCUUCUUUGCCUUACACUCUUGCCCCAUGUCCACAUCAAGUAAUAUUCCUGAAUGAUUCACGAGCAACACCAUCCAUGUACUACCAGUUACUCUUGUGUUCUCCCAGGUCCCUCGGUGGACUUGGUAGAGUUUGAUUCCCCAUGAGAUGGAUAAGGAGGACCCAUCUUACGCUCUGAUUCUCAUGAGGUCCUGAUGGAGGCGAUUCUGUGUGACAAGGGAAAGGAUGAGGCCCAUCUAUUCACAAGAUUGGAUCAUCAGCAGAUGAUAUGAUUUGAGCAGUGAAGUUGAAGACUCAGUAGGAAAAUUUCCCUGGGAGAAGGGGCAAGGACCUGCCAGAAGACUCAGCUGCCUGGAGCCUGCUCACUGGGCCCACUACUCUGUUCCCUUGGCUCGUGUGGUAGCACAGACGCCCCUGACCCAGCAUCAACUUGAAGGCCGUGCUGCAAGUGUCCAGUGACUUCGCCCUGGCAGUUUGCCAAAGCACCUCCAAGAAGCUACUUCUGCAGACACAGUGCUCCUCUCAGGGGAUCCGUACCUCCAUCAGAAGAGGCCGGUGCUGUCUGCUGCCAAUUCCAAGAUGUCCCACAGAUCAGUCAGUGUGCCGAGUAAAUUAACUCUGUUUUUGGUCCAGGAGCAGAUAGUCACCCCUUGUACACCAGGUGUGCCCACGACCCCUGCACAGGGAUGACUGUGCUCAGAGACCUGGGAGAGUAGGAAAGAGCUGGCUGGCUGGGGAAGACCCUACAGUUAUGGAGAAGCAGGACCAUCAGAGAAAGGGCCCCCAUGGCACUAGGGGCCCACGGUUUGGGCCCCUGGAGAUCCAUGGCGGCCUCUCUUCCUCAGUGCUAAGACCUGGGUCUCUACAGAGAAACCUCCAUGCCAAGAGCUCUGAAGCCAGAACCAACAAGGAACUCCACACCUCAUACGUGACUUCCCACCCCAAUGAAAUGCCAUCAGCUACCCAUAUAGCUACACCCAAGUUUCCCACCACUGCAGAGGAGGGGGUCAAGCCUCUUCAGGUUGCUCCUCAAGUCUUCAAGAAAAUACUAGUCAUUGGGGCUCUUGGUCUCCCUCUUUGGCUUCUGAGGUUUCUCAGUGGAAUACCUGAUGUACAAAGGUGUCAGACUCUACAACAGGGAAGAGAGCAACCUUGAGUAUCUGAGCACCCACAUCCAAAAGUUCUAGGCUCCUAGAAAGCAAGAUUCUUCUGUUGCCACACAGAUGGGGUGGGGGGAAGUAUCUAUCACUUUGGGGUCUAAGAGGCAAAUGCUGACCUGAGAGAACAUCCACUUCAUCCCAUGCUAGACCUUGUGUGAGCUCCCUUUAGAUGGGAACCUGAAGUCUUGCCUAGACUUCUAAGAUCCUGAGAAAAACUGGAGGCUGAGACAGCACUCAUUCCACCUACUUAUUGCUGCUUUGUCCUCAAAGGUCAAUUCUUUGAGGAUGGUUUUCAUCUAAUUCCAGUAACUGGGUCCUCAUGAAAGAACACAGAGACCUUUGGCCCAUUUCCCUCUAGUCCUAAAGCAGACAGUGUUGGGAGUCGCCCGGGCGACUAAUUUCCCCAUCCCCCGAGACAGUGGCGGGAAGAGCUUCCCAAUGGUGAGCCCUGCUGAGCCUUAUGAUCCUUACCCACCAAUCAGAAAACACCCUGGCUCUGUUGAACCGCCCCCGGCUCUAUAAAUGUGCAGAGCUGUUCCUCAAUAAACGAGCAUUUUCUCUGACGUUGAGUCUUGUCCGGCCGUUCUUUCAUUGGUGCCGAAACCCGGGGAGGGGGAAUGCUCUAGGGCCCCCUCUCUCAAGGCUUGCUGUCCUCGUCCACUCUUUUGAGCGCUGCUGCUACUCACACAACACUGGCUCUUCAGUAGGUGAGUUCUCCUAUCGGGAUCCAACUUCAGACAGGCUACACAGGGGCGUUGACCGUGAUGGUCAGGCAAACCUCUGACGCCCAAUCUGGAGGAGAGAACGCACCCCACCACGACCUUCACGGUCACGGUGGACUCUCUGGAGCCGUGUUUGUGAGCAGGAGGUACUGAGGGGUGGAAGAACAGGCACUCCCCCACCCCCUCUCCUUCUCUCUCUCUUUCUAACCACCCUUGUCCCUCUCCUGACCUAAAACCCUGAAAAUCCUGGCGCCGGGUGGUUGGUGAAUUCUGGCCUUUCUGGGCCUGCUGGCUGGACUCUCGGGUGACGACUCCACCGUCCUCCUGGCCCCGACUCUCCCGAGUCAUAUUGGUCGAGCUCUCCUUGCGGGGACGCCUGUGAGGAGACUCAUCCGAUUCUGUUCUGGUCCAGACCCUUCCCACCUUCCUACUUCCUUCUUAAGGUUAUACCAUUAUGGGGGCCUCUUCUUCCUUCCCUGCAGACUCCCCCUUAAAAUGCUUCCUGGCUAAUCUGGAUCAGCUAUUCCUCACUCCUGAUAUAAAACCCAAGACCCUCAUUAAAUUCUGCACACAAGAUUGGCCUUACUAUCAAUUGGACAAUCAAAGUCAAUGGCCCCCAGGAGGAUCCCUAGAUCCCGCAAUUCUCAGACAUCUGUUUAACUUCUGCAAGUGCUCGUAAAAAUGGAGGGAGAUCCCCUAUGUUGAGGCUUUUCCUCUUCCUCACUCUCACCCUGACCUAUGCUCUUACCCUAACGACCCUACUGACUCUUCUUUUGAUCCAGCAGAUGAACUACCUUCCCUACCGACCUCCCUCGUUGGCUCCGACCAGCCCCUCAGGUUCUCCCCCUGACUCGGCCGACACCUUUACUCCCCCACAAACUAGGUCCCACUCCCUAGUCCCACAAACCAUGGCCCCCUUAAGAGAGGUUGCAGGACCUGAGGGCAUUAUUCCGGUACAUGUCCCGUUCUCUAUGAAUGACCUCACGCAACUUGAGCGAAGGUUGGGCUCGUUUCACCACAGAUCCCAACACUUACAUAAGAGUUUCAAUGGGUCCUCCAGACUCAUAGCCUCACUCACCAUGAUAUAUACAUAACAUAUAUAUAUGUUAUUGGCUAAUACUCUCCUUCCUGAGGAAUGUACCAGAGAGUCUGGGAACUUGCCAGAGCCCAUGCAGAUGAAACUCACCAAGUUAAUCCCAAUCACCCUCCAGGGCCACUUGCUGCCCCAGAUCAAACUCCCGACUUGGAUUAUGAUACACAAGCUGGCAUACAGAGUAGGGACUGAUUCUCCCUAUGAAUUAUUGCUGGGCUCACAAAAGCGGCACACAUAAGGCUGUCAAUUUCCAAAAAUUAUAAGAGAUUAUUCAAAAGCGAGAGGAGAUCCCAUCGGAAUUUCUGGAUUGGUUUACAAAAGCCCUUCAGCAGUAUACUAACUUAGAUCCGGAAACCCCAGAUGGCCGUCAUGUCCUUAUGACAUAUUUCCUCUCACAGAGCUGCCCUGACAUCUAGGCCAAACUAAAAAAGCUAUAACAAGGCCCUGCCACCCCCCAGACUGAGAUCUUGGUGGUAGCCUUUAAGGUUUUUCACAACCAGGAUGAGGAAAUCGAGUGCUGCAAGCACAGGGCCAAACACAACAAAUUUCAGAUGCUCGCCCAGGCCCUGCAUGGUGCUUCCUCGGGUCGCCACCCAUCACCACAGGUCAAAACCCCACCGGGCGCUGCUUCAAGUGUGGCAAGGAGGGACAUUGGGCGUAGGGCAUGCCCUGCACCAAGCACUCUGCGGACCCCAUGCUCUAAAAGUCAAACAAUAAGGUCAUUGGGGCUCUGACUGUCCUAGAUCCCAUAGGGGGCCUAUGGCCAGCGAGCCCUCUGACCUUCUGGGCAUGGCAAUUGAAGAUUGAUGGAUCCUUGGAUCCCCGGUCGUAAUGAUCAAUAGACAGGAACCCAGGGUGCGGAUUCAGGUGGAUAGGUGCAAGGUUGACUUUCUCCUUAACACCAGAGCUACCUUCUCAGUCCUGACAGAAUUCUGGGGGCAAACAGUGCCGUCCACCUCUCCUGUUUUCGGGGUAGGAGGAAAGACCAUCUAUCCAAGAAAGACUCCCCUAUUCCUCUGUUGCAUAGACAACUUCCCAUUCUCUCAGAUGUUCCUAGUUAUGCUCCAAUGUCCAGUUCCUUUGCUCGGCCGAGAUAUUCUCUUAAAAUUCAAUACAACAAUCAACAUCUGGGCUCCUGGCAUCAGUCAGGUCCCAGAAUCGGCCUGUUCAUCUUUUCUGGACCUUUUGGCAGAAGACUGGCCAUUCUGCUCCACUUGUGAGGCUGACGUGAAAUACCAUACUAACCUGGUUGACCCAAUUGUAUGGGAUACUACACCCCCUCCACCAUUUCCUGCCCACCAGUUAACAUUCAUCUCAAAGAUCUCAACACCUUCCCCAAUCAGGCUCAGUACCCCCUGUCCACAAAAGUUCUUCUGGGCCUACAACCUAUUAUUCAGGACCUUUUUAGCAAGGGGUACCUCCAUCCUGCUCAUUCCCUUUACAAUACUCCCAUACUAGCAGUAAAAAAGCCCAACAUGUCCUAUCACUUAGUUCAGGACCUACGACUCAUCAACACCUCCGUUAGGCCCAUACAUCCUUUGGUUCCCAAUCCAUACACCCUGCUGUCUCAGGUCCCCCACACUGCCACCCACUUCUCGGUCAUAGCUUUAAAGGAUGCUUUCUUCUCCAUUCCCCUUGCCCCCGAAUCACAAGAUCUUUUUGCCUUUACCUAGACAGAUACCACCACCAGACAUUCUUGACAACUAACCUGGACUGUUCUUCCUCAGGGAUUUCGAGAUAGUCCACACCUCUUUGGACAUACCUUGGCCUCCAACCUCCAAUCUUUUCACCCCCAGUGCCCCAAGUCCACCCUCUUGUAAUUUGUUGAUGUUCUCCUCUAUAGCCCGUCCAAAGGGCGCUCAACAGAUGACACAGUUCUUCUACUUAAUUUCUUGGCCUUAAAGGGAUAUUGGGCCUCUCCACAAAAGGCCCAAAGAGCAUGUAAAGAGGUCACAUAUCUAGGGUUCUCUAUCUCUCAAGGGAAAAAGGCCAUUACAGCAGACAGAAAACAGCUUAUUGUGUCUAUACCUACACCAAAGACCAAAGAUGACAUACUCUCCUUCUUAGGUUUCGCUGGGUACUUCAGGGCCUGGAUUCCUAAUUUCUCCCUCCUUGCCAGGAUGCUAUGUAAUCUGGCCAAGGGUCCCCAAGAUGAACCCCUACUCUCAGUGGUAGGGAAGCCCUUUACAAUCCUUAAAAAGGCCCUCCUCCGGGCACCCACCCUGCAUCUCCCUGACCUCUCCUGAUCCUUCACCCUCUAUGUACGUGAAAAACAGGGACAAAGUCUGGGCAUUCUGGGUCAGGAAUAUGUCCCCACAUUUACACUAGUGGAUUACCUAUCCAAACAGCUUGACCCCACCGUCAGGGGCUGGCCCCCAUGCCUCAGAGCCCUAGCAGCAGCACAUGACCUCCAGAAAGAAGCACACAAGCUUACCUUUGGCUCCCCACUAACCAUCUCAUCUCCUCACCAUCUAAAGGAUUUCCUCACUUACA